CACCGGCAGACCAAGUGGUACCCACGAAUAUUGGGCCUAAAGCGCCCGUAGCCGGUCUGUUAAGUCCACUGUGAAAUCCUCAGGCUCAACUUUGAGGGCGUGCAGCGGAUACUGGCAGACUUGGGAACGGGAGACGUGUGGAGUACUUCCGGGGGAGAGGUAAAAUUCUGUAAUCCUGGAAGGACUAACGGUGGCGAAGGCGCCACACGAGAACGUGUCCGACGGUGAGGGGCGAAGGCUGGGGG
rnacentral:rRNA from 1 species